UGGGGAAUAUUGCGCAAUGGGGGGAACCCUGACGCAGCCAUGCCGCGUGAAUGAAGAAGGCCUUAGGGUUGUAAAGUUCUUUCGGUAUUGAGGAAGGUUGAUGUGUUAAUAGCACAUCAAAUUGACGUUAAAUGCAGAAGAAGCACCGGCUAACUCCGUGCCAGCAGCCGCGGUAAUACGGAGGGUGCGAGCGUCAAUCGGAAUAACUGGGCGUAAAGGGCACGCAGGCGGUUAUUUAAGUGAGGUGUGAAAGCCCCGGGCUUAACCUGGGAAUUGCAUUUCAGACUGGGUAACUAGAGUACUUUAGGGAGGGGUAGAAUUCCACGUGUAGCGGUGAAAUGCGUAGAGAUGUGGAGGAAUACCGAAGGCGAAGGCAGCCCCUUGGGAAUGUACUGACGCUCAUGUGCGAAAGCGUGGGGAGCAAACAGGAUUAGAUACCCUGGUAGUCCACGCUGUAAACGCUGUCGAUUUGGGGGUUGGGGUUUAACUCUGGCGCCCGUAGCUAACGUGAUAAAUCGACCGCCUGGGGAGUACGGCCGCAAGGUUA
rnacentral:rRNA from 1 species